UGGCAUCUGUAUUAGCAGCCAAUCAGCUCCAAGCCAAGCAGCUUUAUCAGACACUCACAGCUGCCUCUGGAGCAGUUUAAACCGACUGUCAGUCAACGCCACGCUGCAGCCAGAAUCGCAGUCCACUGUAACCUGGCUCUGACCGGAACAGAGACGCCAGACUGAAGCUUUUGUGAGAAACAGGCGAGUCGUACCUGUUCCACAGAGCUACUAGGGCGUACUCGUGUAAGUCUGCACUUGGCCCUCCCUUCUUGUUCUCGAUGUUCGCUGCGGUCUUGGACAUGCGGAGGGGCUUCAUGCCGUACGUGCCGGCAUGAUCGGUGAUGUAAUUAUACAGCUGGUGAGCAGUUAUCAUUCCCGUUGACAUGGAAAAGCUUCCUGCACACAAAGUCAAGCACGAAAUCAAGCUGGAAAUGAUGACCCAACAGAAAAAAAAACAAGAGAUUUACACACUCACCCUGGAAGACGUGGUUGCGGCCAAACUUGGGGAUGUCUGGAUGAUGGGAAAUGAAGUCCUCCAGGAAACUGUUUAGCUGAUAGCCUUGCCUCAACGUCAUGUGACAGCCUAGCAGGAGAAAGAAGAAAAAGAGGACCUGCCCUCUGUGGACAUAGAGCUCAGCAAGGCUGCGCGUGCACGAGCAAUACUGCAGAGGAAAAUGUUCAGCGACAUCACUCGGUUUUCAUCUAUUGCACCAAGAUCCUGCACUUUCACAAAAGCAAGUUUGGGCUGCGGUCUGAUGCACAAUCCCUGUGCCAACACUGUAUAAAGCUGUGCCCCAUAGCGUGCCACAAUGUCGGCUCCAUCCUGAUUUGGCAAACGGCCGGCGCUCACGUCUCUGAGAGCUUCGUCAAAGGGCACAAGCUCAGCAGGAAAGGGCAGAUGGGGCAAGCCACGUCCCGAAUUACUCAAACGUCCUGCGUCCUUACAGGGCACUGGCGGUACAGGACUUCUCAGCAGGGCAUCUGCCUCCAUCGUGGAGCUGAGGAACGGGUUUGACUCCUGCUAAGAGUGAGGAAACGAAGGAAGCAGCAAAAAGUCAGUAUAAAUACAACGGUACAGUCUGUAUUACCAGCACUUCCACUACAAGGACCUUGUCUUUUUUCUUUGUCCUCACCUGAAGAAAAAAUUAUACAAAAUGGUGAAUACAGAACAUGAAAAAACCGUAGACUUCAGCAUCAAUUAUGCAUUGAUGAAUACAAUGCAAAAUAAUAAAUACAAACGCUGUCA